rnacentral:rRNA from 1 species
ACAAACUCCCAACCCUUUGUGAACCUUACCUACCGUUGCUUCGGCGGACCGCCCCGGGCGCUGCGUGCCCCGGACCCAGGCGCCCGCCGGGGACCAUUCAAACCCUGUUUUUUAACCAGUGUAUCUUCUGAGCGAGCCGAAAGGCAACAAAACAAUCAAAACUUUCAACAACGGAUCUCUUGGUUCUGGCAUCGAUGAAGAACGCAGCGAAAUGCGAUAAGUAAUGUGAAUUGCAGAAUUCAGUGAAUCAUCGAAUCUUUGAACGCACAUUGCGCCCGCCAGUAUUCUGGCGGGCAUGCCUGUCCGAGCGUCAUUUCAACCCUCGGGCCCCCCCUCUAACCGGGGGCGGGACCGGUGUUGGGGCUCAGGCGUCCUCCUCUUGGGCGCCUGUCCCCUAAAUGCAGUGGCGGCCUCGCCGCUGCCUCCUCCGCGUAGUAGCACAAACCUCGCGUGUGGAAGGCGGCGCGGCCACGCCGUAAAACCCCCAACUUUUACCAAGGUUGACCUCGGAUCAGGUAGGAAUACCCGCUGAACUUAAGCAUAUCAAUAAGCGGAGGAAAAGAAACCAACAGGGAUUGCCCUAGUAACGGCGAGUGAAGCGGCAACAGCUCAAAUUUGAAAGCUGGCUCUCGGGCCCGCAUUGUAAUUUGCAGAGGAUGCUUCUGGCGACGCGCCUUCCGAGUUCCCUGGAACGGGACGCCAUAGAGGGUGAGAGCCCCGUCCGGUCGUGCGCCUAGCCUCUGUGAAGCUCCUUCGACGAGUCGAGUAGUUUGGGAAUGCUGCUCAAAAUGGGAGGUAUACGUCUUCUAAAGCUAAAUACCGGCCAGAGACCGAUAGCGCACAAGUAGAGUGAUCGAAAGAUGAAAAGCACUUUGAAAAGAGAGUUAAAAAGUACGUGAAAUUGUUGAAAGGGAAGCGCUCAUGACCAGACUUGGGCUGGCUCGAUCAUCCGGCGUUCUCGCCGGUGCACUCGGGCCGUUCAGGCCAGCAUCAGCUUUCGCCGGGGGAUAAAGGCGGCGGGAAUGUGGCUCCCUCGGGAGUGUUAUAGCCCGCCGUGUAAUACCCUGGUGAGGGCUGAGGUCGCG